rfam:Oryza sativa (indica cultivar-group) chromosome 4, whole genome shotgun sequence.
AUCCCAUGAUGAGGACAGGCGGCCACAUACUCUUGAAGUCGUUCCCAUGCUUCAGGAAUGGCCUCGUCCCUUGUCUGCUGGAAGAACUCUUGGUUUUGCCCAU